UGGACCGCCUGAUGGUUUUGAUAAGUAC
rnacentral:sRNA from 1 species